GUACACUCCUACGGGAGGCAGCAGUGGGGAAUUUUGGACAAUGGGCGAAAGCCUGAUCCAGCCAUGCCGCGUGCAGGAUGAAGGCCUUCGGGUUGUAAACUGCUUUUGUACGGAACGAAACGGCCUUUUCUAAUAAAGAGGGCUAAUGACGGUACCGUAAGAAUAAGCACCGGCUAACUACGUGCCAGCAGCCGCGGUAAUACGUAGGGUGCAAGCGUUAAUCGGAAUUACUGGGCGUAAAGCGUGCGCAGGCGGUUAUGUAAGACAGUUGUGAAAUCCCCGGGCUCAACCUGGGAACUGCAUCUGUGACUGCAUAGCUAGAGUACGGUAGAGGGGGAUGGAAUUCCGCGUGUAGCAGUGAAAUGCGUAGAUAUGCGGAGGAACACCGAUGGCGAAGGCAAUCCCCUGGACCUGUACUGACGCUCAUGCACGAAAGCGUGGGGAGCAAACAGGAUUAGAAACCCGGGUAGUCCCAUGA
rnacentral:rRNA from 1 species